rnacentral:rRNA from 1 species
CCUACGGGUGGCAGCAGUGGGGAAUAUUGGACAAUGGGCUAAAGCCUGAUCCAGCCAUGCCGCGUGUGUGAAGAAGGCCUUCGGGUUGUAAAGCACUUUCAGUGGGGAAGAAAGCCUUGGGGCUAAUACCCUCGAGGAAGGACAUCACCCACAGAAGAAGCACCGGCUAACUCCGUGCCAGCAGCCGCGGUAAUACGGAGGGUGCGAGCGUUAAUCGGAAUUACUGGGCGUAAAGCGCGCGUAGGCGGUCUGAUAAGCCGGUUGUGAAAGCCCCGGGCUCAACCUGGGAACGGCAUCCGGAACUGUCAGGCUAGAGUGCAGGAGAGGAAGGUAGAAUUCCCGGUGUAGCGGUGAAAUGCGUAGAGAUCGGGAGGAAUACCAGUGGCGAAGGCGGCCUUCUGGACUGACACUGACGCUGAGGUGCGAAAGCGUGGGUAGCAAACAGGAUUAGAUACCCCUGUAGUC